GUUUUCUUCUCUAACACUUUAAAUAUUUCACUCCAGCCUACUCUCACUUGGGUGGCUUCUGAGGGGAAGCUAGAUAUGAUGUUUAAUCUUUUCUUUAGAUAAUGUGGUUUACACACUGAAUUCUUUCAAGGCUAAGAAAAAAAGCACUUUGAUUUUAUGAAGUUAGAGUAUGGUGUGCCUAACUAACAGGGUUUGAGUAUUUGGGGCGGGGAUAGUAAUCUGUUUGAUGCACUUUGAGAUCCUUGGAUCUGUGCUUUGGUGCCUGCUCCCAAUUCUGUUAAACAUUAACACUCAUCAUUUCAAAUGUGUCCCUUGUCCCUUCCUCUCUCCCCUGCCAUUCCCAUCACAUACAUGCAUUUGUACCUUGACAGUCCCUGAAUAUCCUGUUCUAUUAGUCAAUCAUUGUAUCUUCUUCUUUUUAGUUUUAAAGGCUUCUACUAAGAUGUCCUCAAGCAUAGAGGACAUCCCCUCUCAACUAUGUCAUCUGCUAAUGACCCAACUGAAAGCAGAGUCUGCUGUGGUUGCUUGUGGCCCUUGCCGUUUCUGUGGUUUUGGUUUCUACUGUGUGUUUCCAUGCCUUCCUGCACACGUUCCUGAUGCCUCUCUCUUCGUGUUUUAGAACUCUUAGCUGCUAAGUGUUAGCUAAGGCUUAACACAUUAGUCACUGCUGCUCUGAAUUCCCAAUCCCAAAAUCCUUACCCUGUCUCCUUCUGAUAUCGGCUCUGCCAUUUCAGAUCAGGGUUUUGCCGCUGAAUAUGCCUUGUGACCUCCUUCUUGAUGGCUAUUCACGACGCGCAGAGAAAAACAAGCUACUGUAGCUUGGUUUGUGGUGGUGUGCUGAGAUGGAAAGGAAAGGAAGAAGUGUUUGUUGGAUCUUGAAUUCAUUCUCAGUCUGUUAGUGAACCUCUGGCUGUCCGGGAUGUGAACUCCACAGCACCCCCUGUUGUUUCAUCUCAUUCACCAUGACAAACAGGCCUGAGCAGCAAUAAGAAGCCACACACUCACAUAUAGAUUAGUCAAAAAAAAAAAAAAAAAAAAUCAUGCACUUCAGCGACACCAAAUUCUGAGCAGAAGGUGGAGCAAGAAGAAGCCAGGGCAUUACUGAGGGGUUGCAGAAUGGUGCAGCUUUUUGGAAGAUAGAACUUACCAAACCAAACUCUCCCACUCCAGGAUUUUGGGACCAUAGGCUCUGAUCCUAACCCAGAGGAGCAGAAAACAUGCAUAAACAUGUGCAUGCACACAGAUAGACACACACACACACACAGGCUCUGAUCCUAACCCAGAGGAGCAGAAAACAUGCAUAAAUAUGUGCAUGCACACAGAUAGACACACACACACACACACACCGAGAGAGAGAGAGGGGGAGAGAGAGAGAGAGAAUACCUAGGAGAGUAGAUACCAUGCAACAUGGAAUAUGACCUAGCACUGGACAGAAAGGAGCUGUCACAUUCCUCAUUCAGAAACACUCAUACUGUCAGAAGUCAUCUAACGCCAUGUGUGGCCAUUCGGUGACUCUGGCUCACUGGUUUUAUUCAGGUUUUGCAUCUCAGCUGGGCACUGGUUUUUGUUUAUGUUUGAUUUUUGUUUUUGUUUUGUUUUGUUUUUUCCUGUUUCUAGCUUCAGAGUGUGUCCCAACUCUGAGGACAUCUGGCAUAGUAUAGGGUCACCCAAGCACCCCUGUAUCCUGGAUGAGGCGCUCAAAAGAGCAAGGGCAUCCUUCUCUGGACAGCUGUGACACACUUGCUGUGACAAGGACAAGGCAGCAGAAAGCACAGCUGCCUACUGGUUGUCAGGAUCUGGGUCGCUGAGGGCCUGGAUCCUUCCCUCUGGGAAGACAAUGAAAAACCUCUGAGAUGACAGUACAUGCUCUCACAAACUAGGACAAAGACAGCAGGCAGCAAACAGCAGUCACCACUCAGCUCUCAGCAAGCAGCCUUUUGCCUAACCACCAGGAGCCAGCCACCUCCCAGUCCUAGUCAUGCUGGCAGGGACCAUGAACUGCAGAGGAGAUGGAUAUGGGAGGAAGACACCCAGAAGCACCUGUGUGGCAUGGAACCUUGCCUGUCACUGAGAGAGUUCAGGGAAUGGGAGAUGACAAAGGAGCCCUUCAGUUAGAGAGGAGACAGGCAUGGGUUUGCAGUUGAAGGGUGUCAGCUGAUACUGUUGGCUGUGGCUCAUCCUGAACUGUCCUGGGGUACCUAGAAGUAUCCUGAGCCAUCCUGUGUAUCUUGGAUGUCUUGGGCUAUCUUGGGGAGUAGGGGAUAUCCUAGGAUGAUUUAAACUGUCUUGAGGGUCCUGAGAUAUCCUUAGCACUCCUGAAUUCUCAUGCUAGAUGUGACUUAUGGCCGCUCCAGAUAACUUUGAAACUCUGAGCAGAUGAUUACCUCUUUAUCAUUCCGUCUUCACAAUAGCCGCUAACUUGGGAGUAGAUAGUGUGGGCCAGGAUGCUGCAGGACAACGCCAGAGAACAAACAUGGAACUCCCCCAUUAGGAAAGAGACAAUUACCCCUCCUCUCCCCGACCCAGGAGUGCAUGCUGAUUUUGCUUCCAUGGAAAUGGAUAGAAAAACCCUCACGUUAAUAAAUCUUAAAGUUCCUAGCACCCGAAGUCUUUGGGGUCUUUCCCACUGUUAUCUACGUCAGGGUUCCAGGAGGUAUCAGUCCCUCCCCACUAACUGCUGUCACGAGAGAAUGCCCUUUAUAGCCUCAUUGCCCCUUCAAGAGGAUCCGAGAACCCUGGAGGCAGAAGGCAGCUCCUACCUCUCAGCCCCAAAAGGUAGGUAGAAUAGGGAGAGGCAGAAGUGAGCCACACCCACAUCUCCCACCCGCCCACUCCCUAUUCCAUUUUUUUAUUGACCAGCUCUCCUAUCCUUUUGAAAUAUUUUAAUUUUGUAUACACGAUGAUGUAUUAUGACAUUUUAAUGUAUACACUGGAACACACACACUUAUACCUUGCUCCCUUUUAUCCCUCUGUCCCUCCCGCCUUUCUUCUGCAUCCUCUUCAUCUUCCUAUAUAGCCCCGUUUAUGCUUUCAUGCCACAUGCCCCAAAAGCAU
rnacentral:lncRNA from 1 species